AUGCUAUGUUAUGGAGAAUUCAAUAGCUUCGUAUUGGUAAAUGCGUUAAGCAGAAAAAAUGAAACCCAUUCUCUUGAUUGUCAAGACAACUCUGAUCAGUGUCCUCUCCUGGUUCAAGAGGUGAGCAUGAUGGGGACCCCCUCUCCUCCUCCUUCGGUCCAGUGCAAAUUGUGCGGCAAUGAGGCCCAUAAGAUCUUUGACAGUGACAUAUAUCUUGUACAUCAAACUGUCUUUGGAAUAUGGCAGGGAAAGCAUCUUCUUGUUUAUCUAAUUUCAGCACCACAGUACUAUUGGGGAUCUUAA
rnacentral:rRNA from 1 species